GGCCAAGAUAACCCAGAAAGUAUCCCGGUUCCAGGAGGCCUGCCUCAGCCAGGGCGCAGGCUGUCAGCGAGAUUUCCCGGGUGUGCUCCAGAUUGGAGACAGGCCUGACUAACCCCGAAUCCGGGAUUAGAUAGCAGGGCCUGGGUGAGCGGUGGCAAGGUCGCUAGGCUCCUCCGGCAGCAGAGCCUCCCCAAGCAGGGUAGCCAUACAGGCCGCCCUGUCGCAGGCCUGGGGCGGCACGAAGCGGAGGAUCAGUGUGCAAUGGCCUUGGGAAGUCUCCGACGCUUAAACUGUCUGAAUAAUUUGCAUGGAGCGGCUAUUCAUUAUUUCCGAUGAUUUUCCUUCGCAAGCAGCUCGGACGUGGCCGGCUGUGGUUCAACGCGAUCGGAGAGCUCGUAUUUUCAUCUGUAAAUUAAAGCAAUUACGCAGCAGAUAUCUUAUGAUGCGUACUGUGGUCUCCAGAUAGUCAUCAAUCACCUUCAACCGAGCUGUCAGAGCGGGCAGAUUUCGUUUCUGGGAGGCAGGUUUGCAGCUGGGGAGAGGGCGAGAACGUCAUCAUUAAUUAGAGGGUGACCCUGGGGCGAUUCACAGGUCUGAACCCAGGAAUCUUUCCGAGCAAGUCUGCACAGCGCCGCCGCGCACAGUUCCCCUCCCGGCCGCGCGGGAGGCCGAGCGGGGCGAGCGUGCGGCAGGGGCGAGCCCGGGUCCCCGCAGGGCGGCGGCACAAAAGGCGGAGAGCGAGUUCGGGGUGCCCAGGCGCCCCUCCGCCGCCUGCGCGCUCGCCUCCGUUGGGGAUUCGGGCAAGGUCCCAGGACCCGGCCUGAAUGGGGAAGUCCCGGGGUGGGCACUCGGCCGUCUCCCCAGACUGCUCCGUGCGCCCCGGGCGCUGAGCUCUGCGACACGGGCGGGGAAGGGCGUCCCGGCGCUCCGUCCCCGGCACCUAACCCUGAGGCUCGCCCGGAGCAGCCAGCGGAGCGGGAGGGGCCCCGGAGCGGAGGCGGGAAACCUCUCCCGAGCGCGCGGGGACGUCUGGCAGUCCCGGGUUUAGCCGCGAGGGGCAGGGGAGGCUGAGGGCGGGCGGCCCGCGGAAGGGGGUGGAAGAGGAAAGGGAGGGUCGCUCGCCGCGCAGGAACGCGCGGGACCGGAGGUGGGACGGAGGAGGGGGCGUUCCCCGGGGACGCGGUGGCGGAGAGUCGCCAAGCCCCGCCGCACUUGGGCCACCGAGCCCCGGAGUGGAUGGCUCCGGGAAGGGCCUCGGGACCCACACACCCGAGGGCCUCCUGACCUCCGGACGCGGACGCUUGCAGCCGCUUUGGGUUCUGGAGCUCCGGCCCGGAGCUGGGUUCGAACCGGCGGGCGGCGGCGCGGCCACCGAGCUAAACAAUAGUGCGAGCGGCGCGCCGGCCGCGGAGCUGCCUCCCGGCCCCCGGGGGGCCGGGCGGGGGCCGGGCGGAGGCCGGGCGGUGGCCGCCUGCGCAGCACAGCGCCGGGCUAAUUUUAACUGUUGAUUACAUCUUCACGGAGACUCGCUCGUGUGUCCCUUCACAUGUCUCAUUUGUAAUUGAGACUAAUGAUUACAGUGGGGCGGGAAGGAGCAGGUGCUCAUUAAUUAAUCUCUAAUUAAAAGUGCUUCCCGUUCUCGGUGACUAAGGAGAAGCGGCCUUCGCCGGGGCGGUGGUGACUCCACGGAUGGGGUUCNCUGCGGCCCGGCCCGGUGCGCCGCGUGGGCUGACGUCAGCGCCCCCGCCGCUUGAGGCCACGCACAUCUGACUUGACGG
ensembl:lncRNA